rnacentral:rRNA from 1 species
AAUGAACGCUGGCGGCAUGCCUUACACAUGCAAGUCGAACGGCAGCACGGGUGCUUGCACCUGGUGGCGAGUGGCGAACGGGUGAGUAAUACAUCGGAACAAGUCCUGUAGUGGGGGAUAGCCCGGCGAAAGCCCGAUUAAUACCGCAUACGAACUACGGAUGACAGCGGGGGACCUUCGGGCCUCGCGCUAUAGGGUUUGCUGAUAGCUGAUUAGCUAGUUGGUGGGGUAUAGGUCUACCAAGGCGACGAUCAGUAGCCGAUCUGAGAGGACGACCAGCCACACUGGAACUGAGACACGGCCCAGACUCCUACGGGAGGCAGCAGUGGGGAAUUUUGGACAAUGGGCGAAAGCCUGAUCCAGCAAUGCCGCGUGUGUGAAGAAGGCCUUCGGGUUGUAAAGCACUUUUGUCCGGAAAGAAAUCCUUGGCUCUAAUACGGUCGGGGGAUGACGGUACCGGAAGAAUAAGCACCGGCUAACUACGUG